rnacentral:rRNA from 1 species
GAUGAACGCUGGCGGCGUGCUUAACACAUGCAAGUCGAACGGUGAAGCCCUGCUUGCUUGGUGUGUUCGAGUCGAACACGUGUGUGUAACGUGAGUAUCCUCCCCUCAACUCUGUGGUAUACCUUCGGAACACUGGCUCUUAUCCCAGAUAGGCGCCCACCCCGUAUUGUGUGUUGGGGAGAUUUUGCGGUUUUGGAUGGGCUCGCGGCUUAUCAGCUUGUUGGUGGGGUAAUGGCUCACCAAGGCGCCGACGGGUAGCCGGCCUGAGAGGGUGACCGGCCACACUGGGACUGAGAUACGGCCCAGACUCCUACGGGAGGCAGCAGUGGGGAAUAUUGCACAAUGGGCGGAAGCCUGAUGCAGCGACGCCGCGUGAGGGAUGACGGCCUUCGGGUUGUAAACCGCUUUCGGUAGGGAAGAAGCGAAAGUGACGGUACCUGCAGAAGAAGCACCGGCUAACUACGUG